AUGAAGCGUGAGUGUGAUUGGUCGGUGAGGGCAUGUGACUUCUCCUCCCUGCGUGGAGGAGACGGUGUCAUAAGUUCACCAGUCGUCCGUCGAUCGCUGCACCAGGAGGGCGCGUUAGGUGGCUGCUCGCCAUAUAUGUAGUAAUUGCAGGAGAGAAAAUUUAAACGUUGGUGGUCAGAGCCAUGCCGAGUUUUAAGUUAACUUAAUUUUUUUUAUUUCAUUCGGACAUCUAAUUAGAAAUUGUGGCUACCGACAUCGGCGUUUUGGCUCGUGGCGAAAUUCUAUUUCGCUGGGUGCGGCCCUGUUUGAGGUCGCGCUGUUUUCAUGUACUUACAGUAAGAGUUUACUGAAGGAUUUCAGCUACGUUUGUUUUCGUUAAUUUUCAUCACCCGAGCUGCGAGCAUUUUUCGACAGUCGGAUAUAUGUGUUGAAUGAAUAUUUUAAUUGGAAAUUUGGCCACAGUCGUCGGUAACAACCCACAACGAUGAUAGAGUAACUUUGUUAUUGUUCAGAGGACACAGUCCUUUGGCUUGUAUUGUGAGUUGCCAGAAACCACAGGCUUUACUUACUAACAGUAUAUAAUUUUAAACUGUUGGUACCCACGAACAGUAUGUUUUUUUUUAUGAGUUAACACAGAUGUUUUGAGCGACUUAAUUUGAAUUUAUGACGUGUAUUUUUUUUUGUGUUCAGACGAUGGAGGCAACUGUACUUUUGAAUUAUUGUAAAGGAUACAUAAAAAAAAGUAAAAAUCAGUUUGUGUUGGAGAGGCAUUAUUUCAGUAGUCAAUCAUUAAGAGUAACAUUUAUUUUGGGAUCUUAAAAAUUUGAUUGAAUGAUGAAAAAUAAUUUUAAGUGUUUAUGUAUAUGCUAAGUAAUCAAAUGUGCCUAGGCCUACGAGUGAAUUGCAGUACACUCAUUAUAGACCUACUAAGUGUUAAUAUUGGUAACAUUUUGGACAAUACAUUUAGGCUUAAAUAAUGUAGACACAUUCAUACGGAAAGUUGUAGUCUAUAGACUAAAAUUUUUAUUAAAAUCAAGAACCCUUUUUCCAAUCAUUGGUAGAAACCUACAAUAGAACAAAACACUUUGACAUAGUGUAACACGAAAAAAAAAAAACUAAAAUAAA